GAAUAACGCAUAAAAACCUGUCAUUGGGAGGGGAACAACAGCCGGAAACAGCUGUUAAUACCCCGUAGGUUGAGGAGCAAAAGGAGAAAUCCGUCUAAGGAGGGGCUCGUGUCUGAUUAGCUAGUUGGUGAGACAAUAGCUUACGAAGAUAAUAAUUUAGUUAUUUUUAAUUAAAUUUAAUGAACAAUC
rfam:Populus trichocarpa scaffold_16_contig_236, whole genome shotgun sequence.